rnacentral:tRNA from 1 species
GCCUGGCUGGCUCAGUCCGUUGAGCGUCCGACUUCGGCUCGGGUUUAUGAUCUCGCGGUUCGUGAGUUCGAGCCCCGCGUCGGGCU